rnacentral:rRNA from 1 species
AUGGAAGAAGAAAUUGAUGAAACUGUGAGCUCAUUGGAUGAAAAAGAUGAGGAGGAGAGCGAAGAACAAAAGGAUGAAGAGAGGAUUGAUCACCCGUGCCCACCUUCUACUGAGAGUAACUAUUUAUCCCAUACAUUGUUUAAUUUCCCUUCGUGCUUACUGAAGGAUGAUUGCUAUGAUGACUGUUAUUAUCCCGUUGAUUCUCUUGAAAUAUCCCUUUUUGAUGAUGCUUGCUAUGCUUGUGGCCAAGAUGCCAAUAUGAAUUAUGCUUAUGGAGAUGAACUUUCUAUAUUUCCUUAUGUUAAACACGAAAUUGUUGCUAUUGCACCCACGCAUGAUAGUCCUAUUAUCCUUUUGAAUUCUCCCCACUACACUAUAUCGGAGAAGUUUGCUCUUGUUAAGGAUUAUAUUGAUGGGUUGCGUUUUACUACUACACAUGAUGAUUUUGAUAGAUAUAAUAUGCAUGUGCUUGCUGCUCCUACUUGCAAUUAUUAUGAGAGAGGAACUAUAUCUCCACCUCUUUAUGUUUCCAACACGAAAAAAUUGCAAGAAACUGUUUAUACUAUGCAUUGGCCUUUACUUUGGGUGCAUGAAUUGUUCUUUUAUGACAUGCCUAUGCAUAGGAAGAGAGUUAGACUUCGUGAUUACAUGGUAAAUGUUACUUUGUGCUCACUACUAAAUUAG